AUGGCUGACAACGUUCUAGCAAUGUGUGCAGGAAGUCAGGUGACUUCAUGCGACUAGCCUCAAUAAAUGAAUUCAUGGAUAUUUGUGACUACAAAAUUCACAAAUUGAUCUAGACAUGUUAGGUGCCUACAUUUUGCAAGGUACUGUAUUUCAGUAUGGACUGAUGCACAAGGAAAAGGUUCAUUGUGAUGUGGUCCCCACAGUUACAUAUAGUUGAUGCAGUAUUGCUUUUAUUUGAAGCGGUUAUUACCAGGCAGAUGCUGAGUUGGUUUUAACCUCUCUGUCUCUGAUCGAUCUGCCCCGGGGUGCUCCAUCGCAGUGCUGUGAAUCCCAAACCAGUUUUAUAUAAUGAUGAGCAAAGCAGAUCUGGGUGGGGUGAUCAUAAGAAUCAUCAAUUGCAAUUGGUCAUUUGUAUUGACGGAAACCUAAGCGUUCAAUACUUUCCAAACAGACACUACUGACUCCAUUCAGAGAGUGCUGGUGAUCGGUCAAGAGGGCGCACAUCAGCCUAUCACAGUGCACUGGAUGUUUGUGUUCUCCGAGCGUUUACAGGUUUUUUUUUUCUUUUUUUAAAUGUACAACACACACUCCCAGACAUAAUCAUUUCUCAGAAUUUCUUUAUUAAAAGAGCCAGUUCCAGUGUGGUUACUAGAAAUAAACACGGAGAACAACUUCACAAUCCAGCCAUCAGGUUUUGCACCACACACUUUAGGGAUGCUAUUAUGGUAACAUUAUCAUAUUCAGCUAUAACCAACAAAAGAGAGACAAGACAGCAGUUUAAUCACUUGAUGGGAAAUCUUCAGUCAUGUCACCAACACAGGAACCCGUGUAAUCAGAGCUGCUGCUAAUCAAACAUGUAAGAAAUGGAAGAGAAAGUACAUGAAUGAACGAGUUUGUUAGCAGCCACUGUCCAGACAGCAUUUCCACAAAGAACCUUAUUUGCAGCUGGUGUGCUUUUGUGUUGCACAAGACUCCUGCCUGGAUAAGAAUUUGAACCCACAUCACUUUUUUCAUCAUUUACAUUUC
ensembl:lncRNA